UCCUACGGGACGCAGCAGUGGGGAAUAUUGGACAAUGGGGGGAACCCUGAUCCAGCGACGCCGCGUGAGUGAAGAAGUAUUUCGGUAUGUAAAGCUCUAUCAGCAGGGAAGAAAAUGACGGUACCUGACUAAGAAGCCCCGGCUAAUUACGUGCCAGCAGCCGCGGUAAUACGUAGGGGGCAAGCGUUAUCCGGAUUUACUGGGUGUAAAGGGAGCGUAGACGGUUAUGUAAGUCUGGAGUGAAAGCCCGGGGCCCAACCCCGGGACUGCUUUGGAAACUGUGUAACUGGAGUACAGGAGGGGCA
rnacentral:rRNA from 1 species